GAAAGUUGCAUUAUGAUCCAACCACCAAGUUUUGACUUGACAACUAAGGAACAUGUUUAAUCAGGAGCCAUUUCUUCGAACGUUCAACUGACCUUUGUUUUGUCACGAUGUCUUCAAUAGAAAAAUCUAUUUUUAGUUUGAAUUACCGCGGUAUGGGAUUCCCCGGCCGGCCACGUAAGCUAUUCGACCAAUUACGAUUAGCUAGUAGUUAAAUUCUAAGUAUUUCCCUGGAAAAGAUAGUAUGAAAUAAACCGUUCUGUAAAAAUGCCUUGACAUAGGCUCAGUGUGGGAGUUGAACGCUCCAAGUAAUGGGUCUUUGGUUUAAUUCAUUUGGAUUGUUUUCGGAUAUGUGAGUGCUCUCCAUUUCCAUCGAUGCACAGGCUCAAUAUUCUUGUCUUUUAAUCGAUGUUAUUUGCAUUAUUCUACAGGAAAGUGUGAGAACUAUGAGUUCACCUGUGCAAAUGGAAAGUGUCUUAGUAAAUGGAAGCGUUGUUGGGACGGAGAUAACUGUGGUGAUAACUCAGAUGAACAUCAGUGCCCUCAGCGAAGUAAGUGCUACUUAAUUUUCUUAAUGAAAAUGUUACUACACAUAUCACAUGACCAAACA